rnacentral:rRNA from 1 species
UACGUAGGGGGCCAGCGUUGUUCGGAAUUACUGGGUGUAAAGGGUUCGUAGGCGGUGCGGCAAGUUGGGAGUGAAAUCUCUGGGCUCAAACCCAGAGACGGCUUCCAAAACUGCUGUGCUUGAGUGUGAGAGAGGCUCGUGGAAUUGCAGGUGUAGCGGUGAAAUGCGUAGAUAUCUGCAGGAACACCCGUGGCGAAAGCGGCGAGCUGGAUCACUACUGACGCUGAAGAACGAAAGCUAGGGGAGCAAAACGGG